AUUAGGAGUUGGACUAAAGUGGAAGAUCCAAAACUAUGCAUGACACGAAUAGCAAAUUUGGUUUAGAAGAUUCUGGUAACCUCAACAAACUAAGCCAGGGAGACCCAGUCUUCUUGAAAGUGGCAGUUGCUUUUCAUUUUCCACCAGUUUUGAGAUCACUGGCUGAGAAGAAAUGUAGUUAAAGUAGCUAAGAAGGAGGGAAGAGGACCUACUGCUAGCUAAAUCAGCCUCCCAGAUAUGAAACUUUGGAAAGGGAAGGUAUGGUGGAGACAUCUGGUUUGGUAAUCUACCAGACCUAUAAUUUCAUCUCUGUUGGGAACUCUCUUGUGUGGAAAUUCCCUAAAUCCAGAGGAGUGCAGCUUGGUUGAAAACACUAAAGAAUCUAUAUUUUAUUCCUAGAAUAUAAGCUCUUUAAGAGCAAAGAUUAUUUUGUGAAGAAAGAGAACAUUGUACACAGUAUCAACAACACUGUGUGAUGACCAGCUGUGAUAGACUUAACACUUCUCUGCAAUAUAAUGAUCCGCGAGACAAUGCCAAAAGACUCAUGAGGGAAAAUGCUCUUCACACCCAGAAAAAGAACUAUGGAGUGUAAAUGCAGA